rnacentral:rRNA from 1 species
AGAGUUUGAUCCUGGCUCAGGAUGAACGCUAGCGGGAGGCUUAACACAUGCAAGUCGAGGGAUAGUUUCAGCAAUGGAACGAAAACCGGCGCACGGGUGAGUAACGCGUAUGCAACCUGCCCUUAACCGGGGGAUAGCCCGUCGAAAGGCGGAUUAAUACCCCAUAAUACUGUUGGACUGCAUGGUUUGACAGUUAAAGCUGAGGUGGUUAAGGAUGGGCAUGCGUGACAUUAGCUAGUUGGUAGGGUAACGGCCUACCAAGGCUACGAUGUCUAGGGGUUCUGAGAGGAAGGUCCCCCACACUGGUACUGAGACACGGACCAGACUCCUACGGGAGGCAGCAGUGAGGAAUAUUGGUCAAUGGGCGAGAGCCUGAACCAGCCAUCCCGCGUGCAGGAAGAAGGCCCUAUGGGUUGUAAACUGCUUUUGUGCAUGAAGAACAGCCCGAACGUGUUCGGGUCUGACGGUAAUGCGUGAAUAAGCACCGGCUAACUCCGUGCCAGCAGCCGCGGUAAUACGGAGGGUGCAAGCGUUAUCCGGAUUUAUUGGGUUUAAAGGGUGCGUAGGCGGCCUUUUAAGUCAGUGGUGAAAAUCUGCAGCUCAACUGUAGACGUGCCAUUGAAACUGAAGGGCUUGAGUGGCCAUGAGGAAGGCGGAAUGUGUAGUGUAGCGGUGAAAUGCUUAGAUAUUACACAGAACACCGAUUGCGUAGGCAGCUUUCUAAAGGUAUACUGACGCUGAGGCACGAAAGCGUGGGGAUCGAACAGGAUUAGAUACCCUGGUAGUCCACGCUGUAAACGAUGAUGACUCGCUGUUGGCGAUAUACAAUCAGCGGCUUAGCGAAAGCGUUAAGUCAUCCACCUGGGGAGUACGCUCGCAAGAGUGAAACUCAAAGGAAUUGAC